CUUGACAUCCAGCGAACUUUCCAGAGAUGGAUUGGUGCCUUCGGGAACGCUGAGACAGGUGCUGCAUGGCUGUCGUCAGCUCGUGUUGUGAAAUGUUGGGUUAAGUCCCGCAACGAGCGCAACCCUUAUCCUUUGUUGCCAGCGAUUCGGUCGGGAACUCAAAGGAGACUGCCGGUGAUAAACCGGAGGAAGGUGGGGAUGACGUCAAGUCAUCAUGGCCCUUACGAGUAGGGCUACACACGUGCUACAAUGGCGCAUACAAAGAGAAGCGACCUCGCGAGAGCAAGCGGACCUCAUAAAGUGCGUCGUAGUCCGGAUCGGAGUCUGCAACUCGACUCCGUGAAGUCGGAAUCGCUAGUAAUCGUGGAUCAGAAUGCCACGGUGAAUACGUUCCCGGGCCUUGUACACACCGCCCGUCACACCAUGGGAGUGGGUUGCAAAAGAAGUAGGUAGCUUAACCCUCGGGAGGGCGCUUACCACUUUGUGAUUCAUGACUGGGGUGAAGUCGUAACAAGGUAAGCGUAGCGAG
rnacentral:rRNA from 1 species